UGCUAGAGUUCCUUGUGGACCUAGAUCACCACUGUACUAUAGAAAUACAAUAUCAUACCGCAUGAAACAAGGUUUGCUGAAAUAUCAAACUCCCAUGACAAUGCCUUCUAGGAGCAUGAAUUCACAUGCACCUGAGUUUGUACACAGGAAAGCUUGGCAAACAAAUCCUAGAAAUAGAAAUUCAAGUGAUCCAAAUGAGUUGAACUCUUUGCUAGAAAAGAGCAGGGCAAAAGAGGAGAUACUAGAUAAGGAAUCCAGCAAUGAUGUCCAAGAUGGUAGUCCAAGAAAGACUAGCUCUGAGUCUGAGAAGGCAGAACUUGCAAGGCAGAUACUUUUUAGCUUUAUUGUGAAUUCAGUUCAGUGCAAUGUUGAUUCUGGAAGUAAGUCUGUACCCAGCGAGAAGUUUGAAAGUUCUUCGGAUG
rnacentral:misc_RNA from 1 species